GAUGAACGCUGGCGGCGUGCCUAAUACAUGCAAGUCGAGCGAAUGGAUUAAGAGCUUGCUCUUAUGAAGUUAGCGGCGGACGGGUGAGUAACACGUGGGUAACCUGCCCAUAAGACUGGGAUAACUCCGGGAAACCGGGGCUAAUACCGGCUAACAUUUUGAACCGCAUGGUUCGAAAUUGAAAGGCUGCUUCGGCUGUCACUUAUGGAUGGACCCGCGUCGCAUUAGCUAGUUGGUGAGGUAACGGCUCACCAAGGCAACGAUGCGUAGCCGAACUGAGAGGGUGAUCGGCCACACUGGGACUGAGACACGGCCCAGACUCCUACGGGAGGCAGCAGUAGGGAAUCUUCCGCAAUGGACGAAAGUCUGACGGAGCAACGCCGCGUGAGUGAUGAAGGCUUUCGGGUCGUAAAACUCUGUUGUUAGGGAAGAACAAGUGCUAGUUGAAUAAGCUGGCACCUUGACGGUACCUAACCAGAAAGCCACGGCUAACUACGUGCCAGCAGCCGCCGUAA
rnacentral:rRNA from 1 species